GCUAAUAUCCGAGCGUGGGGAAGUGAUCCUGUCUUGCAAUAUGUGACGGGUCACAGGAAUGCGGUGAGAGCCCGCAACUGACGCGCAGCGGUAUUAGAGAACGACCCUAACCGGCCUUAGGCCAGACACUGUCGCCAAUACUGAUUGAUGGUAUGCGAUGGGAAGUCGUUAGCAGUAGGCGGCGAAAGCCAUGCUCUUAAGUCCGAAUACAGCCCACACUCGCAGCACAGUG
rnacentral:ncRNA from 2 species